rnacentral:rRNA from 1 species
UACGUAGGGUGCGAGCGUUGUCCGGAAUUAUUGGGCGUAAAGGGCUCGUAGGCGGUUUGUCGCGUCGGGAGUGAAAACCUCGGGCUUAACUCGGGGCUUGCUUUCGAUACGGGCAGACUAGAGGUAUGCAGGGGAGAACGGAAUUCCUGGUGUAGCGGUGAAAUGCGCAGAUAUCGGGAGGAACACCAGAGGCGAAGGCGGCGACCUGGACAAGUACUGACACUCAACUACGAAAGCGUGGGGAGCAAACAGG